UUGAGAUUCAAAAAAUGAUGAAGCAGUUACUUUGGUUGAAAAAGAACCAGUAACUGUGCCUGAUAAAGAUGAACAAGAAAAACCAAUAAAGAGAAGAAAGCUAUGUAAAAUAGCAAAUAAAGAGGUGCAAGAUGAAGAUGAACAAGGUAAUCCACCCACAACAUCUGCUCAGAUCAUAUCAGAAUCUACAACACCUGUCCCAGAUGUGGAAAUCAGAGAAGUAGAUACAUAUAAUCCGAUGUAGAAAGUGGAUCCAAAAUUAUGGAAGAAAUACUUACAAUGGAAAAGAUCAAGAAAAACAACCCAUGAACAAAGGAAAGUAGUCUCCACAACUAGAAAGAAAGACUUUUUCAGACAGCUUGAAGAAAACACAUGGGUACAUGGAGACACAUUGGAUUUGCUAUUAUCCCACUUGCAGAAUAAAAUGUUGCAUCUCAAGCACCUUUGCAAGCGUUCUUUUAGAAUAUUACAUUCCUCGUUUCUACUUGGAAUCAAUAAACCAGACUGCAUUGUUUGGAACCAUAUUUUCGAUACUCAUCUGGUGACACCAGAUAAUACGAAAGCUGAAUGGACAGACCCAACAGCACACCUAACUAUAUGGACAUAAAAAGAUGUGGAAUACUAUUUCAACACUGCUGUUGGUGAUUACAACCACAUACCAGGGUGGGGAGAUGUCAACUACGUGAUUACCUGCAUCAACAUAAAAGAACACUGGUUGGCUAUUGCAGCUGAUAUGAGAAAAUGCAGGAUCUACGUGUUCGACUCAAUGCCAAAUUAUGUUGAGCAGAAACUUGUUGAUGAAGCUCUUCAAAUGCCUGCACAAUGCAUCCCCUCACUCGCGAUUGCAAUUGGAGUCAACCUCCAUUCAGAGCAUUUCAAAUAUGGCCCUUGGCCAAUACGCAGAUCGAAGACCACAUUACAGAAAGGCGUUCAUUGGAUUGUGGAAUUUUCUGUGCUAAAUUUGUUGAAUGCCUUGUAACUGCUAGUGACCUUGGUUGUCUAACUGUUCAAACAUGA